rnacentral:lncRNA from 1 species
UACAUGUAGACGUGUAAAUAACCACUUUCCCCAAUACACUGUUGUUUAUUUUUAAAAUCAGAAAAAGGACACUAUCGGAUAGUGAAGUUACAUAAGUCUUCCUUUGUUGUGUAUUCGCCUUUUCUUCGUCGAAACUACAAGGGCGUAUAUACUAAUCAUUGUAAUUACUUUUCAAUGAAAAUUUAAACACUUUCUCUCCUUUGAAACCGCAAAAUUGACAUCAUCAAGUUUGCUUGGGGAUAUUUUCUCUAGGAAUACAUUGUUUUGUGUAUUGUCAUAUUCAACAUCGAAAGAGAUCAAACUUACUAAGAAAAUAAAGGGAACAUCUUAAUCUGAAAGGAGUACAAGUCAAAAUCUCAAAAUUAUAAAACUACUUGAGAUGGUUGAUGUAACAUCCUACAGAAAUUGGUUCAUACAGUUUGAGCGUCAUCAUUUUAACAUCCGCCACAUGUGAAUAUUUCAAAUGUCAUUCAAUUAUUGAAACAGGCUUGGACAAUUUGUCCGAUUGAAACAAAAUUAUGUAUGAUAGUGUUAAAUGAUCGGAAAGAAUAACAAUAAGUAUUUAAUCUGUGUUUGGAUAUAGAGAUUACAUAAGUUAUUAUAACCUGGUCAGUCAGAAGUGGUCAGUACUAUCUAAACCAUGUAAAUCCCCAAGGCAAUAUAAGUAUUUGGAGGGGAAAUUGAUUGAGAUUGUUUACCAUCCAAUGGGAGAAUUUAUUUUGAAAUUAGUGUGUUCUUUGUGAAAUAAUUGUGAAAAUGAAACGGAAAUAUGAUGUUCGAAAACAUGGGAUUGCUUUGCACAAAGUGGUGAGUUUUCUUUUCCUUCAUUAUUUACAUAUGACAUAAUAUAAAUUGCACAUUUUUAACUUGACGUCUAUUUUUUGAAUAUUUAUGGCGUAGAAGUAUGUGCAAUGUGGUUUUCCCUGCGUAAGGAAAUUUCCAUUGAUCUUUUGACUUUUUAAGGAAAUUUGUUAAAAACUUAUAAUUUAUUCUCAAGUCAUUUGAAGAAACUGUACUUCACCUGUUUGAUGGUCUAUGAUGUUUACAUAAACAUUAUGAAAUGUACAUAGAUCAGAGCGCUACAGGGGGUAAUUCAACUUAUACAAACAGUUCCAGGCAAAGUGAUAAUAUCUGGUUUGUAGAGGACUGUUUCAUUAUGAAAAUUAAAUAAUGAAUUUGUAAUGUGAUAUACGUUAUAUUCUAUGACUUCAUGUUGUGGCAGUGGAAAUAAAAAAUUCUUAUGGAAGGAAACGUUGUUUUUUUUGUUGUUGCAUCAGUUCAAACCUACAACGCACUGCCGAAAACAGGUUGAUAUUAAAAACAUGUGUUAAAUACGACAACUAGGAAGAGAUGAAUAAACCUAAAUCCUCUCCACUUGAUAUUGUAUUAUUUUCACAUGAUUUUACGAGCAGUUAACUCGGAAGCAUGUUAAGUUUCUGGUAAUUUGAGAUUAAUGAAAACGAACCUUUAGUUAUUCUGUUUUUUAAAGACAGACCUAUUUCAUCAUAUUCAUUUAUUCAAAUUUCUGCUUUGUUCUUCAUUUCAUUAAACGUAUUCUGUAUUAAACUGGAAAUGAAUACAUGAUAAAAUCAAUAAUAAUUUACCCUGGACAAACGUGUCAUUAUAGUCCUAUCUGAUAAUAGACCUAUAAAUGAACAACUUAUUAAAUACAGAGUGAUUAUAAAAUCUGUGAUCAUAUUAUACAGAUGAUAAUUCUCAGAAUUGGUUAAGAAUGUAAUAAUUGUAAAAGUAAUUUGUUGUAAAGUUACGCCUUUUAGAGAUAACGACUUUGAACAAAUUUAAUUUUGACAUUUUUCACAUCAAAUAAUCAAAAAUAUUGUUCCUCGUCUAUCAGUUUUAUUUAUUUUUUUCAUAAAGGCAUUGAAUUUAAUUUCCAGCUUGUUCGAUUGCAUUGCAACAAAACGUGAGAAUAAUAUUUAAUUUGACAAGAAAUGUUGUCUCAAUCUAUAUAUUUACAUUUAGCCAAAGCUUUCACGAGGCCAAAACCUUGGUUGACAUUUGCAAAUGAAAUUUUGCCAAAUAAUCAAUCAAAUUUUCGUUUCCAUACACUUGAUAAGCAGCGAUCCGCUAUACAAUUACACGAUGUGACUGCUUAAGCGAACAAGGUUCAGAGAAGAUUGCUCAAACAUAGCUUACUGAAGAAAUGAACAUAACGGACCUAAAUGGAACUUCAUUAACUAAAAUGAAACUGGCGAAAGAUCGUUGAUGACCAACUCUUUGUAUUUGGGUUAGUCAUGUCAGCUGUUACGAGUAGCUUGUCAACUAAAUAGAUGCGUUAUUAACAAUUUAUCGAAUCGACUUUUACAAUAAAAGACGAGUUAAGUGUUACUAAAAAGCUACAUUUAAAUGUUCUCUCUAUUAUUUGAUUACGACUAAAUCAUUUCCAUCGCAAAAACUGUGUAGAUUUUAAUAAUCCUCUGAAAUUGUUACAAUUAGUAAAAUACAAAUGAGCAGACGAUUUUUAUCUCGAAAUCGGUUAAUACCUUUAAAGCACAAAUAUAUAAUGUAUGAUGUUAAGGAAAUUGUUUCAUCUUUAUUGGGAUGAAAUAUUUUUUUCUGUCUUUGCUAAGGAAGCAUAAAUGCCAUGAUGCCCGUUGUGAAAUAUGUAGUUAUGUAACACAUUUUGGGGAUAAUAAUAAAUUAUGUUAUAAAUGCAUGUUGAGGAUAAUUGAUCAGUUAAGUGGUUAACUAAAACAACACUAUAUUGUUUAUCUUCCUAUUUAUAACGUAUCCUGGAUGAUAACCCAUGUUUGAAAUUUAGUUACGGUACCUGGGUAAAAGUUAUUCCAAAGUAUGGUUAGCCCAAGGUUGUAUGACCUCUCUAGGUUAAUCAUACCAGCAGGUGCACGAGGUGGAGAUUCCAACUAAAUUUAUCGGAAGUUGUACAGAAAAGCGACAAAUUUAAUCUGGCAAACAUUGUGGUUGUAUUGUAUUGAUGGAUGGGAUGGGUGAUAACGUGAUAAAUUCUGCACCAAUCUGAUUGAUCGACUGUUGUCCAUCGCACUUGUUUGACAAGAUUUCGAUUGAAAAUUUUAGAUUGAAAAUUUCAUAAGCAUAUGUUUUAUCAACUUCAAAUGAUAUAGUAAAAAAAGGUUAAACACUUUCUGUAGAAAAUCAAUAAAAAGUUGUAUGCAAAAACAAUAAUAAGAUUGUAAUUUGACGAAAUGCGCUUUUUGAGACAUUUAAUGAAUAGUCUCUUAAUUAUCGUUUUUUGAAAUCACUUUUUUUAUUAGCAAGAGUCAUCAUAUUGACAAAUUGAGACACAAUUGACAAGGGUUAACAGAUGGCUUUAUGUAUUUUAGUAUGUUUACUAAUGUAUAAACCUCUUCACUACUUCCGUUCUAAGCUAUUACCCAGCAAACUGUAAGUGCUCGUUUAACGAUUUCGUUCUAACCACUGUCUAGAAUGCUGUUUUUACUGCUCCAGUUAAUAUAAAUACAUCCAUCUAUUUUGUAAUUUUGUAAUAUACGUGUUAUGCAAACUGUUUUCAUACAAUUACAGAGAACUUGUUUAAUUUUUUUAUAGCAGAAAUGUAAAAAUUGUCACGCCAAAACAUGUAAUAGAAAACAAGUUUAAAACAUCCUUUCGUGAAAAAAGGACAAUUUAUACAGAAAUACGAAGACAUAUAUAGCAAUGGCUUAACCGAUAUUCAAAACGCUUUGGUAGGAAACACCACGCACAUUCAGAGUUAAAAUAUGGAUUGAUUGAUUGGUGACAUAUAAACGUCCAGUGACAAAUGUCACUGUUUAAGCAUAUUCAGGAUGAGUCUAAACUUUAACAACAAUUCAAUCGGUAAUGUACAAACUCACAAUUUGAAAGUCAACAGAAAGACAUAUAUCUCGGGUUAAACACAUUCAUAUGACUCCAAACCGACCAGUUUUUGCUUUGUCUUCUAAUGCCACACCCUAGCGGAGAAGCAGCAUGUGCCAAUUUUAGAGUGUUUUAAGCAAACCUUUGACAGAACCUACGAACUCCUGCACUUGAACGGUAUGAAGAGAACACCUAGACGGUUUCAAAAGUCGGAAUGUAUGCAAUCAUGUGGAAAAUAUAUUUAAAAUAACAUCGAAAGAAUAGCCAUUACAAUCGAAUUUAAGUUUUUAGUUUAGGACAAAGAAAAUUAGCUUUGCAAAGUAUUGAAUCACUUAUAAGCUGAGAGGCUUACAGCUCACCAGGAGUGCUAUCGACACGUUAAGGACAAAAAGAGCCAAGAUGAUCAACUAAGCCAAGCUUUGUCUAUAUUUUUCUUAAGAACUACUAAAAAUAAUGCAUCAUCAGAGAAUGCAUGAUAUAAAAAAAAUUAUUCGAAAAGCAUUAACCUCUAGGAAGAUUGAUACUCUAGAGGACAAAUAGUCACGAAAUUAACGAAGAUUUGAAAAAAUGUAUCCGGACUUAGCCACACCUAGUUAAAACACGUUAUUUUAAUUAUUUUAUCCAGAUCCUUAAAACGAAUUUGAAAUCCGUUUCCUGAGAUCACGUCAGGAUUUGUAACACUGCUGAAAUUCUGUCGCUCCAUUUCACAAUACAGGCAGAUUUGAAAUAAGAUUAACUCUGUCUUAAAUAAAGUUUCCGCAGAAAACGUCUUUCCAUGAAAAGACAUUUAAACAAUUGUCAUGCGAACAUAUUUCGUUUGCUUAAGAAAAAUAUCUUUGUAUUGAUGUUGACAAGGUUUUUCCAUUAAAUUUAAUUCUGGUGACUACGACUACUGAACCUCGUACCAAAUCCCUUCUAAGUAUUUCCGGUAAAUGUUCGGUAUCAUAGUAACACAUCGACAGGCUUUGUGAUUGACAUUUAAUCCUCUUAGUGAAGGAAAACAUGAAGUUUUCUGUAAACAAAAAAAUAAUCUUAUUCAGUCAGAUUGAUACAAAUAAUAUUUUUGUAUUAUUUAAUAAAUCGCGUUUUCCAAAUGACCUGAGUAACUUGAUUUUAGAUUAUGAAAGAAACCUACGACAUUUCAUCACACAGGUACAAUUAUGUUAGUUACAGGUAAUAGCGGAAAUCAUUUGUAUUUCAUUGUCAUCUUAAAUUGCAAAGGUGUGCACUUAAGGUGGGGCUUACACAUUAUAAAAUCAUUUACAAAAUACUUUGAAUACCUGUGUGCAAAUAUGAACUUUUGACUCCUAUAGGCAGUGUGAGUUUUUUCGUUUUCAAUACGAAAAUUUAAUAUCAAUAAAUAUUUUGUGUAUUAAAUCUUAUCUUGCUACACUGUGAAGUAUACCAUAUCCGAGGAGGCUGUACAUAGGUCACACCAUCCUGAGCGUGAUCAACGUUGUUAAUUGGUCAUAUGGUAAGAGGCCAAAUCAUACGUGUAAUUGCUUAAUCAUUUAUGAAGACACAUCCGUUUCUAUUUUCAGCCAUUAAAGAAAUCUUUAUCUAACAGUGCAGACAACAGCAUAAACCACCAUAAAAAGCAACGACUUUAUAUGGACAGUUCUACACACAGGGCAAUACCAAGAAAAAGAA